rnacentral:lncRNA from 1 species
UGCGUCCUCCCGUCAUUUGCCAGCAGACCGCCGUCUUACAGCAGCAGCAAGCAGCACCCUAUCGACGAGUCGGCGACGAUGACUGCUCCCCGGCCUCUCCUCCGCAACAGCAGCAGCCCGCGAUCUGCGUCGUCACGUCCACGCAGUAGCAUUCUUGUUUUAAGAAUGAAUUGUUAAUAUAUGUUUUUCUUGUUUUAUGAAUUGACUGAUAUGUGUGAAAUUGAAUCGCUGAUGUUUAUGGAUUUUUUUCUCUUCAGAUUUCGAGAUGUGAGGCAGCAACAUGUUUUUCUUGUUCUUUUCGCUUUUUUUGUAAUUAUUGAAAUGAGUCAAAUGACAGUAGCAUGUGUUUUUGUGUAGUAAUAUGCAUGGAAAAUACGUCAAUUUUUUUUAAAAUAUAAUUUUAUUAAUAUUCAAUUUUUUUUCUUUCCGAUUUUACCCCAGUGCAAAUUUUGGUUUGUCC